rnacentral:rRNA from 1 species
AGUGAACGCUGGCGGUAGGCCUAACACAUGCAAGUCGAACGGCAGCACAGUAAGAGCUUGCUCUUACGGGUGGCGAGUGGCGGACGGGUAAGGAAUACAUCGGAAUCUACUUUUUCGUGGGGGAUAACGUAGGGAAACUUACGCUAAUACCGCAUACGACCUACGGGUGAAAGCAGGGGAUCUUCGGACCUUGCGCGAUUGAAUGAGCCGAUGUCGGAUUAGCUAGUUGGCGGGGUAAAGGCCCACCAAGGCGACGAUCCGUAGCUGGUCUGAGAGGAUGAUCAGCCACACUGGAACUGAGACACGGUCCAGACUCCUACGGGAGGCAGCAGUGGGGAAUAUUGGACAAUGGGCGCAAGCCUGAUCCAGCCAUACCGCGUGGGUGAAGAAGGCCUUCGGGUUGUAAAGCCCUUUUGUUGGGAAAGAAAAGCAGCAGGUUAAUACCCUGCUGUUCUGACGGUACCCAAAGAAUAAGCACCGGCUAACUUCGUG